AGUGAACGCUGGCGGUAGGCCUAACACAUGCAAGUCGAACGGCAGCACAGUAAGAGCUUGCUCUUACGGGUGGCGAGUGGCGGACGGGUGAGGAAUACAUCGGAAUCUACUUUUUCGUGGGGGAUAACGUAGGGAAACUUACGCUAAUACCGCAUACGAUCUACGGGUGAAAGCAUGGGAUCUUCGGACCUUGCGCGAUUGAAUGAGCCGAUGUCGGAUUAGCUAGUUGGCGGGGUAAAGGCCCACCAAGGCGACGAUCCGUAGCUGGUCUGAGAGGAUGAUCAGCCACACUGGAACUGAGACACGGUCCAGACUCCUACGGGAGGCAGCAGUGGGGAAUAUUGGACAAUGGGCGCAAGCCUGAUCCAGCCAUACCGCGUGGGUGAAGAAGGCCUUCGGGUUGUAAAGCCCUUUUGUUGGGAAAGAAAAGCAGCAGGUUAAUACCCCGCUGUUCUGACGGUACCCAAAGAAUAAGCACCGGCUAACUUCGUG
rnacentral:rRNA from 1 species